GACGAACGCUGGCGGCGUGCUUAACACAUGCAAGUCGAACGGAAAGGCCCUGCUUUUGUGGGGUGCUCGAGUGGCGAACGGGUGAGUAACACGUGAGUAACCUGCCCUUGACUUUGGGAUAACUUCAGGAAACUGGGGCUAAUACCGGAUAGGAGCUCCUGCUGCAUGGUGGGGGUUGGAAAGUUUCGGCGGUUGGGGAUGGACUCGCGGCUUAUCAGCUUGUUGGUGGGGUAGUGGCUUACCAAGGCUUUGACGGGUGGCCGGCCUGAGAGGGUGACCGGCCACAUUGGGACUGAGAUACGGCCCAGACUCCUACGGGAGGCAGCAGUGGGGAAUAUUGCACAAUGGGCGGAAGCCUGAUGCAGCAACGCCGCGGGCGGGAUGACGGCCUUCGGGUUGUAAACCGCUUUCGCCUGUGACGAAGCGUGAGUGACGGUAAUGGGUAAAGAAGCACCGGCUAACUACGUG
rnacentral:rRNA from 1 species